CUAAACGAGUUGAGUUACUUUCAAAUAAAAACACAAAAUGCUGGCAGAACUCAGCAGGCCAGACAGCAUCUAUGGGAGGAGGUAGUGACGACGUUUCGGGCCGAAACCACCUUGCCAGCUUUACGACUGUCGGUACAAAGAAGCUAAGUCUAACCAGAUGAGCUGAAGAAGGUAAAACUGAAAGAUCUCGUGAAGGAUGUGGAGGCUUAGAAGAGAGUACAGAAGAGAUUUACCACCGUGUUACCUGGAUUAGAAGGCAUGAAGGUUGUUCUCCCUCGAACAGUAGAAGCUGAUGAGACGCCUUAGAUAAGCUUUCAUGAAGGGUCUCAGCCCAAAACAUCGACUCUUUAUUCCUUUCCAUAGAUGCUGCCUAAUUUGCUGAAUUCCUCCAGUAUUCUGUAUGUGGUUACCUUGAUAUAUGUUUGUAAGAUUGUGAAAGACAUAGCUAGACAAUAGUCAUCUUUUAAAAUUAGGGUUGAAAUGUCUAGAGGGAAUAUAUUUAAAGUGAGGGGGAGAGUUCAAAGAAAUGGUGGGUGGGUAGCUAGAAUGCUCUGCAAUAUCUGGUGGCAAUAUGAUAUAGGCAUUUAACAGACCCUUAGGCACCUAAAUAUACAGAGAAUGGAGGGAGAGAGAGACCAUGUAUGGGCAGAAGAGAUUAGUUUAAUUUGCUGUCAUUAUCUUAAUUUGUUCAGCACAGCAUCUGGAGCCCUUUUCCUAAACUGCUAACCAUGCUGUAUAUUUAAGAAGUAGGAGCAGGAAUAGUUUAUCUGGCCCAUGGAGCCUGCACCAUUCAAUAAGAUUAUGGCUGAUCUGACCAUGGACUUACCUCCACCUGCAGGCCUUUUCCUCAUUAACUCUUAAUUCUCCUACUAUGCAAAGAUCUAUCCAACCUUGUCUUAAAUAUAUUUACUGAGGUAGCCUCCACUGCUUCAUUGGGCAGAGAAUUCCACAUAUUCACCACUCUUUGGGAAAAGCAGUUCCUCAUCUCCAUCCUAAAUUUACUCCCCCAAAUCUUGAGGCUAUGUCCCCUAGUUCAAAUCUCACCUACGAGUGGAAACAACUUACCUGCCUCUACCUUUUCUAUCCCUUUCAUAAUUUUCUAUGUUUCUAUAAGAUCUCCUGUCAUCCUUCUGAAUUCCAGCAAGUACAGUCCCAGGCGACUCAAUCUCCCCUCAUAGUCUACCCCCCUCAUCUCUGGAAUCAACCUGGUGAACCUCCUCUGCACUGCUUCCAAAGCCAGUAUAUCCUUCCUCUAGUAAGGAGACUAGCAUGCAGCACUCCAGGUGCGGUCUUACCAGUACCCUGUAAAGUUGCAGCAUAACCUCCCUGCUCUUAAAUUCACUCCCUCUAGCAAUGAAGGCCAACAUCCCAUUUGCCUUCUUGAUAGCCUGCUGCACCUGCAAACCAAUCUUUUGUGGUUCAUGCACAAGUCCUUCUGCACAGCAGCAUGCUCCAAUCUUUUACCAUUUAAAUAAUAAUCUGAUCUUUCAUUUUUCCUUCCAAAGUGGAUGACUUCACAUUUACCAACAGUGUACUCCAUCUGCCAGACCCUUGCCCACUCACUUAAGCUAUCUAUAUCGCUCUGCAGACUCUCUGUAUCCCCUGCACAAUUUGUAUUUCUGCUCAUUUUAGUGUCAUCAGCAAACUUCGAUACACUACCUCCCUGUAAUUAAUAAUUAAUUAUGGUUUUGUGCUAGUUGUGGGAACAAGUAAUGAUACAUUCAUCAAACACCAAUUUUAAGUUAUAUCUGGAUAAUCAGAAUGCUUUCACAGCUAGGGUCUCUUUUGUGCUAAAAUUAUUACAAUGGAGCCCUGCUAACUACAAUGAAAAUUUCAUAUAUUGACUAAUUUUAUGUAAAUAAAUUCUGUUCAUUGUUCUGAAAGCAGGUAAUGGUACUUACUGAUUUUCCAUACUAAAAUCAGUUCAGAUUGUGAAGUUGCAAGUAUCUGCUUUUCUAUUUUCCUUAUUGAUUUUUAAUUUAAGUUAAAAUGACAUUUGAAUGUCAGACAUUUUUAUACAGCAAUCAGAAUGAAUUCUAAUGUAAAGGAAACCAAUGUAAUGGGAUAUUCUUUCUAAUUUUUAUUUCAGUAGAAAAUAAAGCUACUUCAUUUUACGUAAAAUAACACUGAAGAUAUGUCAAUAUCUCACUUUGUUAGAUUUCCUUAUCGGCAUCGAAACUAUUUUACUGCAAUUCAAAACUUCCAUGUGAAAUAAUAAUAUUAAAUUCCCACACAAAUUAAAAGCUUACAGAGGACCAAAAGAUUAAAGAUUUUUAAAAUACUUAGAUACAAAAUUAAGUGGUUCACAUGAUAAAGAUGAAAACAAGGUAGUUACAGUGCCUUGAAAAAGUAUUCAGCCCCCAGCCCUUUGUUCACAUAAAUGAGUAUUAUAACCGGGAAUUUUGAUCAAUUUAACUGGGAAUUUUUAUUUGUGAAUCACAUGCUCCUUUCUUCCCCAUAGUAGAGCCCUAAAAACGGAAAUUUAUAAAGCAUAAAAAACUAAUAACGCAAAAACUAAAAUGUCAAUAGUUCAAAAGUAUUCAUCUCCCUUUGCGCAGUACUUGGCAGAACCACCUCUUACAGCUAUUACAGCCAGUAGUCUUUUUUGAAUGAGUCUCUUUUAGCUUUGCACUAUCUGAUGCAGCAAGAUUUGCCCAUUCUUCCUUGCAAAAUUGCUCAAGCUAUGCCAGCUUAUUUGGAGAGCAAUGGUGGAUGGCAAAGUUGAGGCCUUGACAGUGAUGUUCGAUCGGGUUAAGGUCAGGACUCUGACUGGGCCACUCAAUUUUCUUCAUUUGAAGCCACUCUGGCAGUGUGCUUUGGGUCAUUUGUCCAGCUGAAACAUGAACUAUUUAUUCAACUAAAUACUUUAAAAUUCAGAGAUUUUGUAGAUUUUAAAAUAAAACAAAUUAUGUAUAAAGUAAAAAAUGGACAGUUACCACAAAGUAUCCAAAGAUUGUUUAAAAUGAGAGAAAGUCAACAUGAUUUGAGAGGAACAUGGAUAUUUCAAAAACAAAGGAUAAAAACAAAUGUAAAAAAUCAUUGUAUUUCAGUCAGAGGAACAGUUGUAGUAAGAAUUUAAAAACAUGCACCACACUUAACAAGUUUAAAAAAUUAUUUAAAAAUAAUUUCAUGAACAAAUAUAAAUUACAUGAUUUGAAAUGAAUGGGAAUAAUGUAAAUAAAUGAUACUUGGAACUGUAUUUUGUGUUAAAAGAUUAUAAAUUUUUUGUUUUGAUGUGAUGAUUGACGCCAAAUACGUUUUUGUAUAAAAUAAGGGCGGGGUAGGCAUAAUAAGCUGUAGCUUCAGCCUACACCCUUUCAGUCUGUUUUAAAGAUUUUUAUUAUUUAAUUUUGUCUUAUGAAAUCAUCAUUGAAAAUUAUGCUUUUUGUUAUGUUUGUACUGACCAAAAUAAAAUGUUAUUAAUUAAUUAACGCAUUCAUUCAACUUCCUCCCUAGUUUAAGCUUUCUGGCAGAGGCUAGUGGGUUUUUAUCCAGGAUUUCUCUGUAUUUAGCAACAUUCAUAUUCUCUUCAGUCCUGACCAGAUUUCCAAUCCCUGCUGCUGAAAAGCAUCUCCAUAUCAUCAUGCUACCUCCACCAUACUUUACAGUCGGAUGGUGUGAUCUGGGCUGAUGCACAGUAUUAAAUGUAUGCCAAAAGUAUCGCUUAAGCGUUCAGCCCAAGAAGUUCCACUUUGGUCUCAAUAGACCAUGACAUCUUCCACGUCUUUACAGUAUCUUCUAAGUGAUGCAUGGCAAAAUGUUUUUGUGCAAGGCCAUAAGAGAUUGUGGAGCCAUGAACUUCAUCUCCAGUUGCAGCCACUAACUUAUGCAACUCACUCCGAUUGCUGUUGGUGUCACAAUAGCCUCUCCUACAAGCGGCAUUCUUCUCCAGCAGCUAAGUUUAGAGGGACAGCCUGACCUAGGCAGUACGGCUGGGAUUUCAUAUUUUUUCCACUUUUUCAUGAUGGACUGCAUUUGAGGUGGUCUUGUAACCUUCCCCAGAUUUGUGCUUCUCCAUGAUCAUUUCUUUGACUUAUCUGGAAUGCUCUUUUGUCUUCAUUUUGGUUUGUUCUAUUGAAAAUUUACCAUACUGUUGGACUUUACAAAGAGAGAGUGUAUUCAAUUAUUCAUUGAAAACAGGAGAUCCUCCAAAUUUCUAUAUCAGCAAAUCCGGAUGAGUUGGAAAGGUAAUAGUUUAUUGCACCUAAGUAUUUGAGGAUACUUAGUGUACAAAGUAUCACUUUGUACCUGAGGAUACAAAGGGGGUGAAUAAUUUUUCAACCUCACAAUUUUGGUUUUUAAUUUUUAGUGAAUUGUUGACAGGCUUUGAAUUUUUCCUUUUGAUUUGACAUGAUGUACUAUGUUUUGUAGAUUAGCUCAAAAAUCCUACUUCAAUACAUUUAAAGUUUAGAAAAUGAGACAGUAAAAUCUGAAAAUAGUUGUGGGGGUUGAUUACAGUUUCCAAGACACUUUAUCUUGUUUACAGGAAAGAUAGAAGUGCAGACAAAAGAUUGGCUGCCUGACAGAAGGUGAAUAGUGGGAAUAAAGGCGGUCUACUGUGGAUGGCUGCCAGUGAUUAGUGGUGCUUUGCACGGGUCAGUAUGGGAGUACUUGUGCAGGGUUUCCUAAAGAUUAACUUGCAGGUUGAAUCAGUGAUAUUUCAAUGUUAGCACUAAUUUCGGGAGAACUAGAAUAUAAGAGCAAGAAAGUCAUGCUGAGGCUUUGUAAGAUAUUGGUCACACCACACUUGGGAGUAUUGAGAUUAGCUUUGGCCCCCUUAUUUAAGAAAAAGAUGUGCUGGCAUUGGAGAGGGUCCAGAGGAAUGUCACGAGAAUGACUCCGGGAGUGAAAGGGUUAACAUAUGAGGAGCUUUUUUUGGGCUCUAGACCCGUACUUGCUGGAACUUAGAAGAAUGAUGGAGGAUCACAUUGAAUUCUAUCAAAUAUUAAAAAGCUAAGAUAGAGUGGAUGUUCAGAGGAUGUUUCCUAUAGUGGGUGAGUCUGGACUAUGUGGCACAGCCUCAGAAUAUGAGUGUAUCUGUAGAAUUCAUUGCCAUGGACAGCUUUGGAGGCCAAGUCAUUAGCUUAUUUAAAGUGGAGUUUGUAGAUUGACUCGUCAGGACGUCAAAGGUUACAGGGAGAAGGCAGAAGAAUGGGGUUGAGAGUGAUACAAAUAAGCCAUGAUGGAAUAUUGGAGAAAACUUGUGGAGGCCAAAUGGCCAAUUUCUACUCCCAUGUCUUAUGGGCUUAUCCCAUUAACUUUAAAGCAUUAUCAGCUAGAUUUAAAUGACCAUACCUUGUCUGCAUUCCAAAUUUACCUGAACAGAAUUUUUAAAAAGUGAUAAAGAAUAUGGAGCAAAGGAGGAGGAAAGUGGAGGCUAAUAUUAAGGGGUUUAUGAGGAGAACAAUGAGGUAGGUAAUAGUUGAUCCAGUUGGCCUACUGCCAAGAAAAUGAAAAUACAUUUUCCUUCAAACAGAUGAAAUUUAGAAAAUACUUCAUUGUAAAUGUAUUAAACACAUUUCAUCAUUAACAUUUCACAAUGUAUCAAUCUUUUAAUUGGUAAGAGUUUCAGUUCCUUUCAUAAAAUAUAUCCCAUUAGUUAUAACUUUGUUUUAAAUUUUUCCAAACUACAAUCCUCCAAUUUAACUAGAAAACAAAGUAAAAUAAUCUUCCAAAGGAAAAUCUCACAUUUUGUACAGUACUGAAGAGUACUGGAAACCAAGAACUAUAGAUAUUGGAACAAUGCACAUAAAAUGCUGGAGGAACUCAGCAGGUCAGGCAACAUCUAUAGAAAUGAAUAAACAGUUAAUAUUUCAGGCUGAAACUCUUCUUCAGGACUGGAAAAGAAGUGGGAAGACACCAAAAUAAAAAGGUAGGGGGAGGGGAAGGGAGAACUAGCUUGGUGAUAGGUGAAGCCAGGUAGGUGGGAAAGGUAAAGGUUUAAGAAGGAAUUUGAAAAGAGAGGAAAGUGGGCCAUAGGAAAAAGGGAAUGAGGAGGGGUACUGGGGGAGGUGAGGAAGAGAGUUAAGUAAUCAGAGUGGGGAAUAAGAAAAGAGGGAAGGAGGAAGGAAAAAAAUACAGUAAGGAGAAAUCAAUAUUCAUGCCAUCAGGUUGGAGGUUACCUAAACAGAAUAUGAGAUGUUGCUCCUUCACCCUGAGAGUGGCCUCAUUGUGGCAAAUGAGACAGCCAUGGAUCAACAUGUGGGAAUGGGGAUGGGGAUAGGAAUUUAAAUGGUUGGCCACUGGGCAACUCUGCUUUUGGUGGAUGCCUCAGAGGUGCUCGAAAAAGCUGUCCCCCAAUUUAAGUUGGGUCUCACCAAUAUAGAGGAGACCAUAUCAGGAGUACAGGAUACAAUAGAUGACCCCUACAGAUUUGCAGGUGAAGUGUUACCUCACCCAGAAGAAUUGUUGGUGGUCCUGAAUGGAGGUAGGACAGUAAUGAAUGGGCAAAUGUAGUAGUUCUGUUGUUUGCAGGGAUAUGCACCAGGAGGGAGAGGAAUGAGCAAGGGUGAAUGGACAAGGGAAUGUAGGAAGUGGAGAGCGGGGUCUGGAGGUAAAGAUGUGUUUGGUAGGUUUCCCGUUGAAGGCGGCAAACAUUGUGGAGAAUGAUAUGUUAGAUGCAGGGGCUCAUGGAAUGAUAGGUAAAGACAAGAGAAAUUCUAUCCCUGUUAAGGUGGUGGGAAGAUGGGAUGAGCAUGGAUGUUAAGGAAUGGAAGAGAUGUGAGUAAGGGUGGCAUCAAUGGAGGAGGAAGGGUAACCACAUUCUUUGAAGGAGAAGGACAUCUCUGAUAUCCUGGAAAGGAAAACCUCAUCCUGGGAAUAUGGCAGAGAUGAAGGAACUAAGAAAAGGGAAUAGCAUUCUUACAGGCAACAGAGUGGGAAGAGGUGUAGUCAAGAUAGCCAUGGGAGUUGGUAGGUUUAUAAAAGAUGUCGGUAAACUGUUUGUCUCCAUAUAUGGAGACUUAGAGAUUGUGAAAGGGGAAAGAGAGGAGUCAGAAAUGAAUGAAGUAAAUUUAAAGGCAGGGUGGAAGUUGGAGGUAAGGAUGAUGAUAUUGAUAAGCUCAGUGAGGAUGCAUGUGGUAGUACCAAUGCAUUUGUCAAUGUAAUGCAAGAAAGGUUGGGGAGCAUUACAGGGAAAGCUUGAAUAUGAACUGUUCUAUGUAGCUAGGGCCCACGCGGAUGUCCCUGGUCAUCCCUUGAGCUUGGAGAAAGUGGGAGGAGCUUAAGGAGAAUUUGUUGAGGAUGAGGAUUAGUGCUGCCAGAGGGUGAUGCUGGUGGAGGAGGGGAACUAGUUUGGUCUUUUGUUGAGAAAGAAGCUGAGAGCUUUAAGGCCUUCUUCUUGGGGGGGAUAGAAGUAUAUAGGGACUAGGCAUCCAUGAUGAAAAUAAGGUGGUCAGGGCAAGGAAACUGAAAAUUGUUGAAGAGAUUGUAGCCAUGUGAAGUGUCGAAUGUAGGUGGGAAGGGAUUGAACCAAAAGGGAUAGAACAGAGACAAGGUAUGCAGAUACAAGCUCAUUGGGGUAGGAGCAGGAAGUGGAGUCCUGAAAAUAAAAAUAGAAAAUAUUGGAAAUAUUCAACAGGUCAUAAAUGUAUAGAAUGAGAAACAGGUCAGACCUGGGAGAGAAAAAAAAGUUCUCACCUGCAGUGAUACAGUGUAAGUGUGGAGGGGGUGGAGGAGAAGAAAGAAAAAGAGAAACUCUUUGAUAUAGCAAAACCAAGUAAGUUAUUGUGGAAAUGAAACAGGCAGAUUUUGCUUCUUUGCCCAUAUUGUGUUGCUAUCGGCACAUCUAUAGAACAUGUCCAACAGGCCAAGCUAUAGGAAUAGAAAGAAAAAGACUGGGACAAAACAACACCAUAAAUUAUCAGUUCUGGUACAGACAGAGUGAAUAUAUAUAUAUAUAUAUAUAUAUAAUAGAGGAGAAUUCAUUAUAUUGCUCUUCAGUAUUUCCAAGUUUAAAAAAAAUGAGGUGUGUUGUUCCUGGAGAGUGCAAAAGACCUUGUUUAAUGGUGCAGGAGUCCUCAGACAGAAAGGUCAGUUUAGGAUUGUUAAUUAAAGUGGCAGGCAAUAGGGUCACUCUUGCAGACUGUUCUUUACAACUGUAAAGAGUGGUUUAAUGCUGUAAUUUCUGUAAUUUUGUAACUCCUCUAUCUUAUUUAUAUGCAGUUCACUUUAUUAAACUAACGUAUUGGUCUGCUUCUAGUAUUACCUGCCGUUUUACUAACCUGCACACAAUCUGCCUUCAAUUUUGGUUACAUCAGCAUGUUUUGGGAUUGAAAGCAGCAUUAUUUUCAACAUCAAACUUGACUUUUGCCAAUUCAUUAAGUUUUGUGGUAAUGGCUAUUUCUACAAAUAUACUUUAUAAACAUGAAUUUUUGUUUAGUCCUAGGAUUUCCAGCUGAUCCAGUAUGUCAUUAAAGAUAUUUCUGGAAAAACUCAAUUCUUCAAUUCAUUGCCACAAUUUGUGACAGUGAAGGAGAGAGGCUGAAGGUCAGAACCUCAAGCCCAGCACAAUUCACAGUCUACCCGCAGCAGUGAUUCUUGCCUUCCUAUAUGUUCCUGAGACUUGGUCUGACAUAAGCAGUCAUCUCAAGGCACUGGAGAGAUACUGCCAGUGCUGCCUCCACAAUGUUCUCCAAAUCCACUGGCAGGAUUAGUGAAGCAAUGCUAGUGCCUCUCCCAGAGAAACAUCACCAUAAUCGAGGCUCUGAUUAUACCUAGUCAUCACCAGGCAAGUUAAAAUCACUCACGUGUCUUACACCAGACUCCAAAGAGCGAUUUCUUGUGCAGGCACGAGGAAAUCUGCAGAAGCUAGAAAUUCAAACAACACACACAAAAUGCUGGUGGAACACAGCAGGCCAGGCAGCAUCUAUAAGGAGAAGCACCGUCAACGUUUCGGGCUGAGACCCUUCAUCAGGACAAAGAGAAUCUCUUAGUACCUC